UACGAAGGGGGCUAGCGUUGCUCGGAAUCACUGGGCGUAAAGCGCACGUAGGCGGACUCUUAAGUCAGGGGUGAAAUCCUGGAGCUCAACUCCAGAACUGCCUUUGAUACUGGGGGUCUUGAGUUCGGGAGAGGUGAGUGGAACUGCGAGUGUAGAGGUGAAAUUCGUAGAUAUUCGCAAGAACACCAGUGGCGAAGGCGGCUCACUGGCCCGAUACUGACGCUGAGGCACGAAAGCGUGGGGAGCAAACAGG
rnacentral:rRNA from 1 species